GUCUUGAUAGUUUAAUCCAAAAACAAUGAUUUUGUAAAUCAUUAAUGUUAAUUUCAACUUAGGACU
rnacentral:tRNA from 1 species